ACGGGAGGCAGCAGUGAGGAAUAUUGGUCAAUGGACGGAAGUCUGAACCAGCCAUGUCGCGUGAAGGAGGAAGGUGCUAUGCAUUGUAAACUUCUUUUAUCUGGGGGUAAAGUGGCUCACGUGUGGGCUAUUGCAAGUACCAGAUGAAUAAGCAUCGGCUAACUCCGUGCCAGCAGCCGCGGUAAUACGGAGGAUGCGAGCGUUAUCCGGAUUUAUUGGGUUUAAAGGGUGCGUAGGCGGGGGAUCAAGUCAGCGGUGAAAUUCUGUGGCUCAACCAUAGGGCUGCCGUUGAAACUGGUUCUCUUGAGUGCGGCAGAGGUAGGCGGAAUGUGUGGUGUAGCGGUGAAAUGCUUAGAUAUCACACAGAACACCGAUUGCGAAGGCAGCUUACUGGAGCGCAACUGACGCUGAGGCACGAAAGCGUGGGGAUCGAACAGGAUUAGAUACCCUGGUA
rnacentral:rRNA from 1 species